GACGAACGCUGGCGGCGCGCUUAACACAUGCAAGUCGAGCGAGAACCGGGGCUUCGGCCCCGGGGACAGCGGCGAACGGGUGAGUAUCACGUGGGUAACCUGCCCUCGGCGCCGGGAUAGCCCGGGGAAACCCGGAUUAAUACCGGAUGGCCCCUCCGACCUUCGGGUCGGCGGGAAAAGGUAGCUUCGGCCUCCGGCCGAGGAUGGGCCCGCGGCGGAUUAGCUUGUUGGUGGGGUAACGGCUCACCAAGGCGACGAUCCGUAGCUGGUCUGAGAGGACGAUCAGCCACACUGGGACUGAGACACGGCCCAGACUCCUACGGGAGGCAGCAGUGGGGAAUCUUGCGCAAUGGGCGAAAGCCUGACGCAGCGACGCCGCGUGAGGGAAGAAGGCCUUCGGGUUGUAAACCUCUUUCAGUAGGGACGAAGCCACUCGGGUGAAUAGCCCAGAGGGUGACGGUACCUACAGAAGAAGCCCCGGCUAACUACGUGCCAGCCGCCGCUGUAAAAC
rnacentral:rRNA from 1 species